GGUCAGGACGAACGCUGGCGGCAUGCCUAACACAUGCAAGUCGAACGGAGCAAAGGGGGCUUGCCCUCUUGCUUAGUGGCGGACGGGCGAGUAACGCGUGAGCAACCUGCCCCUCAGAGGGGAAUAACGUCCGGAAACGGACGCUAAUACCGCAUAACGCAGCGGGAGCGCAUGCUUCUGCUGCCAAAGGAGCAAUCCGCUGAGGGAUGGGCUCGCGUCCGAUUAGCUGGUUGGCGGGGUAACGGCCCACCAAGGCGACGAUCGGUAGCCGAACUGAGAGGUUGAUCGGCCGCAUUGGGACUGAGACACGGCCCAGACUCCUACGGGAGGCAGCAGUGGGGGAUAUUGCACAAUGGAGGAAACUCUGAUGCAGCAAUGCCGCGUGAGGGAAGACGGUCUUCGGAUUGUAAACCUAAGUAGACAGGAACGAUAAUGACGGUACCUGUAAAGUAAGCUCCGGCUAACUACGUGCCAGCAGCCGC
rnacentral:rRNA from 1 species